AACACGUGAGUAACCUGCCCUUAACUCUGGGAUAAGCCUGGGAAACUGGGUCUAAUACCGGAUAUGACCUUCUGCCGCAUGGUGGGGGGUGGAAAGCUUUAUUGUGGUUUUGGAUGGACUCGCGGCCUAUCAGCUUGUUGGUGAGGUAAUGGCUCACCAAGGCGACGACGGGUAGCCGGCCUGAGAGGGUGACCGGCCACACUGGGACUGAGACACGGCCCAGACUCCUACGGGAGGCAGCAGUGGGGAAUAUUGCACAAUGGGCGCAAGCCUGAUGCAGCGACGCCGCGUGAGGGAUGACGGCCUUCGGGUUGUAAACCUCUUUCAGUAGGGAAGAAGCGAAAGUGACGGUACCUGCAGAAGAAGCGCCGGCUAACUACGUGCCAGCAGCCGCGGUAAUACGUAGGGCGCAAGCGUUAUCCGGAAUUAUUGGGCGUAAAGAGCUCGUAGGCGGUUUGUCGCGUCUGCCGUGAAAGUCCGGGGCUCAACUCCGGAUCUGCGGUGGGUACGGGCAGACUAGAGUGAUGUAGGGGAGACUGGAAUUCCUGGUGUAGCGGUGAAAUGCGCAGAUAUCAGGAGGAACACCGAUGGCGAAGGCAGGUCUCUGGGCAUUAACUGACGCUGAGGAGCGAAAGCAUGGGGAGCGAACAGGAUUAGAUACCCUGGUAGUCCAUGCCGUAAACGUUGGGCACUAGGUGUGGG
rnacentral:rRNA from 1 species